AGACCAUUCUUCUCAUACCGGAGCCGAUCCAAGUAUCCUGCCCCACAAGAAGUUGGAAUGGAUCCCUGCACCAUUCUGGAAUGUCUAUUAUCUAUUCUAGAAUACCAGGCCAAAAUUAGAAACGGGGGUGAGAUACUUUGAAGGGUCAAUAAAUCAGGGCCAAAUAGCUCAUUCUCCUCUCUUUGAGUAAGGUGACCAGACGUCCCGCUUUUGGCGGGACAGUCCCGCUUUUGAGCAAUUUGUCCCGCGUCCCGCGGCGUUUUAAAAAAGUCCCGAUUUUUCAUUCUGCCUCCUGAGUCCCAGCUGAUGACUAGAGGGAAAAAAACUGUUUAAACUCUUGCCGCGGGGCUUCAAAGGGCCGCCCUACAGCUGAUUAGCUCGGCUUCCCCCUCUCAGCUGUUUUGCGGAGGGCUCUUGCUGCUUGCUAAAUUGCUCCAGCAGAUUUUUUUUUCUCCUUGUGCAAACCAAGCUCAAAAGGAAACUGAAAGUGAAACAGGCUGUUGGCUUGUUUGGUGCAACGUUGGAAAAUUAGGCAGCAGAAUUCUUUUCUUUUUCCUCACCAAAAAAGCCCAUCAACUGAGACUCAGGAGGCAGCAAUAGAUUGGGGGUGUGGCCAAAUAAAAGAUGUUAAUGUUUUGGCUUGGGGGCACUCAAAACAGUAAAGCAUAGAACAGGAAGUCGGAUCAGCCAAUCAGCAUGCAGGAUGCGCACCUCUGCACAGUUGGGAUUUGAAAGAUGUGCACAUCGGCCCACCUGCAGCCAUCGGCAACCUUCACUUACUCAUCAAUCCCUUUGCAGUGUAGGUAUGCACCAAUGGCUACGGACAGUUGCAGUCAACUCUAAAUCAGCAUUAAGAGAGCACAGCGUGCAAGCGUGCAAGUGCAGGAAGGCCAGGAAAAAGAGUGUAGAGCAACAACUAAGGGACAUGGAUUACCAAUGAUCACCACUCCUAGUCUCGUGGACAGUGAAUAUACAGAAAGUCCUCAACUGAUGACCCUAAUAAAACCUGCCUUUUACAGUCAUAAUUCGCAAUGGUCAUAAAGCAGGUCACUCACAUGACCAACCCAAUUUUAUAACCUUUUUUUUUUUUGUAUGGUCUUUAAGCAAUUGUUAAGCAAAUACCAUGGUUUUUAAGUGACUCCAUUGUUCACUAUGGGGUGUUUUUGCAAAAAACAACAACCGAGAAGUAAAUGCCAGUUUUCUGUAUAAAUGUUGUAAAUUGCAGUUGCAUGAUUGCGGGAUGCUGCAAAAGGCUUUAAAUGGGCCAAAAUGAUUUAAUUUGAUUUUAUCUGGUUUUUAAAUUUUUUGUAUCUAUGUAUUUUAUUGUUUGGCUGUUCACCGCCCUGAGUCCUUCAGGAGUAGGGCGGUAUACAAAUCAAAUAAACUAAACUAAACUAAA